rnacentral:rRNA from 1 species
GAUGAACGCUAGCGGCAGGCUUAACACAUGCAAGUCGAGGGGCAGCGCGAUGUAGCAAUACAUUGGCGGCGACCGGCGCACGGGUGCGUAACACGUAUGGAACUUACCCUUUACUGGGAGAUAGCCCGGAGAAAUCCGGAUUAAUAUCCCAUAAUAAACGAAGUGGCAUCACUUUGUUUUGAAAGCUCCGGCGGUAAAGGAUGGCCAUGCGCACGAUUAGCUAGUAGGUGAAGUAACGGCUCACCUAGGCUACGAUCGUUAGGGGGCCUGAGAGGGUUAUCCCCCACACUGGUACUGAGACACGGACCAGACUCCUACGGGAGGCAGCAGUGAGGAAUAUUGCGCAAUGGAGGCAACUCUGACGCAGCCAUGCCGCGUGCAGGAAGAAGGCGCUACGCGUUGUAAACUGCUUUUAACCGGGAAGAAACCCUCCGACGUGUCGGAGGUUGACGGUACCGGAGGAAUAAGCACCGGCUAACUUCGUGCCAGCAGCCGCGG